GUGCUUGCUUCAGCAGCACAUAUACUAAAGUUGGAACGAUACAGAGGAAAUUAUCAUGAGCUCUGUGCAAGGAUGACACACAAAUUUGUGAAGUGUUCUAUAUUUUU